rnacentral:rRNA from 1 species
GAUGAACGCUGGCGGCGUGCCUAAUACAUGCAAGUCGAGCGAACAGACGAGGAGCUUGCUCCUCUGACGUUAGCGGCGGACGGGUGAGUAACACGUGGAUAACCUACCUAUAAGACUGGGAUAACUUCGGGAAACCGGAGCUAAUACCGGAUAAUAUAUUGAACCGCAUGGUUCAAUAGUGUAAGACGGUUUUGCUGUCACUUAUAGAUGGAUCCGCGCCGCAUUAGCUAGUUGGUAAGGUAACGGCUUACCAAGGCAACGAUGCGUAGCCGACCUGAGAGGGUGAUCGGCCACACUGGAACUGAGACACGGUCCAGACUCCUACGGGAGGCAGCAGUAGGGAAUCUUCCGCAAUGGGCGAAAGCCUGACGGAGCAACGCCGCAUGAGUGAUGAAGGUCUUCGGAUCGUAAAACUCUGUUAUUAGGGAAGAACAAAUGUGUAAGUAACUAUGCACGUCUUGACGGUACCUAAUCAGAAAGCCACGGCUAACUACGUG